UUAAUUGAAGAGUUUGAUCAUGGCUCAGAUUGAACGCUGGCGGCAGGCCUAACACAUGCAAGUCGAGCGGUAACAUUUCAAAAGCUUGCUUUUGAAGAUGACGAGCGGCGGACGGGUGAGUAAUGCCUAGGAAAUUGCCCUGAUGUGGGGGAUAACCAUUGGAAACGAUGGCUAAUACCGCAUGAUGCCUACGGGCCAAAGAGGGGGACCUUCGGGCCUCUCGCGUCAGGAUAUGCCUAGGUGGGAUUAGCUAGUUGGUGAGGUAAUGGCUCACCAAGGCGACG
rnacentral:rRNA from 1 species